CCUACGGGAGGCUGCAGUGGGGAAUAUUGGACAAUGGGGGGAACCCUGAUCCAGCCAUGCCGCGUGUGUGAAGAAGGCCCUCGGGUUGUAAAGCACUUUCAGUGAGGAAGAACGCCUGGUGGUUAAUACCCAUCAGGAAAGACAUCACUCACAGAAGAAGCACCGGCUAACUCCGUGCCAGCAGCCGCGGUAAUACGGAGGGUGCGAGCGUUAAUCGGAAUUACUGGGCGUAAAGCGCGCGUAGGUGGCUUGAUAAGCCGGUUGUGAAAGCCCCGGGCUCAACCUGGGAACGGCAUCCGGAACUGUCAAGCUAGAGUGCAGGAGAGGAAGGUAGAAUUCCCGGUGUAGCGGUGAAAUGCGUAGAGAUCGGGAGGAAUACCAGUGGCGAAGGCGGCCUUCUGGACUGACACUGACACUGAGGUGCGAAAGCGUGGGUAGCAAACAGGAUUAGAUACCCAGUAGUC
rnacentral:rRNA from 1 species